GGGUCAGUAGGUUGGUCGUGCCACCGGUACGUACUGGUCUCACUGAUUCCUCCUUCCUGAAGAACCGUAAUGCCAUUAAUUUGGUGUUGCGGGGAAACAGGACUGUUACUUUGAAAAAAUCAUAGUGUUUAAAGCAAGCUAACGCUUGAAUACAUUAGCAUGGAAUAAUGAAAUAGGACGAUCGAUCCUAUUUUGUUGGUUUCUAGGAUUGACGUA
rnacentral:rRNA from 1 species